CCAAGGACUGGCUGCAUUUGCCAUGAGAAAAUACAAACCAUAUCCAAUAUGUAACUUAGGCAAAGUCAACAUUGAGACUGUCUUCAUUAUGACUUCCUUCUUUGUUGCCUCAAAUGCUUAUUGAACUCUUACUAUCUUUCAAGCUUUGUGCUGGGUCUUAGAUUACAAGACUGAAUAAGAUAGACAUAACCUCCUUCCUCCUGGAUGUGGCAAUUUUUCCUUUGAAUCACUUCCACACAUGCAUUGCCUGGGGAUUGGGGACUGGAUCCCAUGGCCAGAUCGAAUCCCUAAGGUGGGUAGUGGAGCAUUCUUAAAUUGGGACAGAUUUUCACAGUGCGAAGGCUUGAAGAAGAAGAAACUCUCGAAAGGUAGGACUGACCUGCAGCUCUGUAAGACAAGGGAUCAAUGCUAUUAAAUGGAAUCUGCUCAUGAGGGUACCUCUUGAGAAUAAGUUGACUUCUUUCUUAUUUUCUCUUAGACUAUGGUUACAAGUAUAUUUAGCCAAGUGUUUUUGUUAUUGUUUUUAUUUUAUUUUAUAUUUAAUUUCCCUCAUACAAUAGAAUGUCUACCACCAACUCUUCAGAAAAAUCUAAUAUAUUAGUAUAGCUUUACCUGAUAUCAUUGCAAGGAAUAAAUGUAUGAAGUUUUAAAAAAAAAAGUGUGGCCUGCCUCACAUUCACUCCUCUGCUGAAACCCACACAGGACUUGGAGGAGGCCAUGCCCAGGAAUUCCAGGAGGCAGCCAGCAACAAGGGAGGCUUUUCUUUGGUGGAGUUUGGAAAGAUUAGGAGACGCAUGAAAAACAGCUUCCAGAAGCUUGAGAAGCAAAACCUUCCUUCUCCUAAAACUCCAGGGAAAUUAACCUUGAAGAGUAUGUUUGUAGGAAGAUUGAUGUUCCCCUUACAAAGAUCUGCUAAUUAGACGGCAAUAUCUAUGGAGGCUCAGUGAAAGGUGUAUUGAGAGGAAGGGUGGAAGCUUGAGAAAAGUGAAAAAGGUGUGAAAUAAGUGAGCGGGAGGAUGGGGCAGAGAGCUGAUGAAGAAACAUAUGCUGUGUUCAAAGUUCAGUUAGGAUGGUUUAGAGUCCAUUUGGUUGUCUUAUUUUCUCUAGCAGAUCAUCCGAAGAUUUAGAAAUGGGCAACAGUAGGGUUCAUCUAUCCCUGGUAUUUUCCCAGGCAGGUACAAUGGGAAAACAAGAUAGGAAAGUUAAGGGCAUUGGAAAGAAUGAGGAAGUGAUGGGCCAUAGAAUGUCAAUCAGGAGAGGAGGAAAUGAAGACAGACAGGAACUGAGAGGAAGAUACAAAGUAAAGAAUCUAUGGAAGAAUCCUAAGGAAUUCCAUAGAAUCCAUAGAAUUCCAUAGAAUCUAUGGAAGAAUUCUAAGGAAGGUCUCAAUGAGGACAAAGAAUGAUAGAUUGAAAGUAAUUUAAUUAAAGGUUAUGCUCAGAGAGUCUGACAUUUAAAAAAAAAUGUUUUUGAAACUGGAACAAUUCCAGGAGAUGACAUGUUCCAGGGUGUGUCUAUGGGAAUGACUGGCUGAAGUGGAGGGGGUCCAUGGAAGAAGCUAUUAGAGGACACUCACCUUCAAAAUGAGGAGAAAUAUGAGAAAAGGAAGACAAGAAUUCAAGAAGUCAGAGAUCCAACAAUAAUAACAAAAGUGGUAAGGUAAUUCUCAGGAUGACAGUAACAGGAAGUCCCAAGAAGACAGAAGUCCAGAUUGGUGAAAGACAAUGAAGAGCUACAAGAGGUUUGCACUCUGAAGAGAAGAAGGAAAAAAAACGGAACUCAUAGUUUGUCUAAUGUCUUUGACCACGUUUCAAGGAAGUACCUGGUUCUGUGCAAAGUUAGCAAAAGGUGUAUUUAAAAAAAUGAAGAAACAACAGAAUAAGGCAAUUGCCAACUAAAA